UACGUAGGGCGCAAGCGUUGUCCGGAAUUAUUGGGCGUAAAGAGCUCGUAGGCGGCUUGUCACGUCGGGUGUGAAAGCCCGGGGCUUAACCCCGGGUCUGCAUUCGAUACGGGCUAGCUAGAGUGUGGUAGGGGAGAUCGGAAUUCCUGGUGUAGCGGUGAAAUGCGUAGAUAUCAGGAGGAACACCCAUGGCGAAGGCAGCAAACUGGUCCGUAUCUGACGCUGAGGCGCGAAAGCGUGGGUAGCAAACAGG
rnacentral:rRNA from 1 species